UUAGGAAUCUUCCACAAUGGGCGAAAGCCUGAUGGAGCGACGCCGCGUGAGGGAUGAAGGCCUUAGGGUUGUAAACCUCUAAAAGAGGGACGAUAAUGACGGUACCUCUUGAAUAGCACCGGCUAACUCCGUGCCAGCAGCCGCGGUAAUACGGAGGGUGCAAGCGUUAUCCGGAAUCACUGGGCGUAAAGGGCGCGUAGGCGGUCUGUUAAGUCCGAUGUUAAAUCCCGGGGCUCAACCCCGGAUAAGCGUUGGAUACUGGCAGGCUAGACGGUUGGAGAGGCGAGUGGAAUUACCAGUGUAGCGGUGGAAUGCGUAGAUACUGGUAGGAACACCCAUUGCGAAGGCAGCUCGCUGGACAACACGUGACGCUGAGGCGUGAAAGUGUGGGGAGCAAACC
rnacentral:rRNA from 1 species